ACGCCGGUGGUGUAAUGGCGUAGAGCAUUCCCGCCCGGUCAGAGAGAGUUGCGGGUUCGAGUCCCGCCCGGCGCU
rnacentral:tRNA from 1 species